AACGCACAUUGCACUCCUUGGCAUUCCAAGGAGCAUGCCUGUUCGAGCGUCAUUGCAACCCUCAAGCUCUGCUUGGUGUUGGGUGUCAUCGGUGAUGAUGCACCUUAAAAUCAGUGGUAGUGCUACCUAGCUCUAAGCGUAGUAAAUCUCUCGCUAUGGAUGCUUGGGAGACUCUUGCCAUAAUCUUCAAAUAUAAAGGUUGACCUCGGAUCAGGUAGGGAUACCCGCUGAACUUAA
rnacentral:misc_RNA from 1 species